UACGUAGGGGGGCGAGCGUUGUCCGGAUUUAUUGGGCGUAAAGAGCUCGUAGGCGGCUUAGCAAGUCGGGUGUGAAAACUUCAGGCUCAACCUGGAGACGCCACUCGAGACUGCUAUGGCUAGAGUCCGGUAGGGGACCACGGAAUUCCUGGUGUAGCGGUGAAAUGCGCAGAUAUCAGGAGGAACACCGGUGGCGAAGGCGGAUGGUCUGGGCCGGCACUGACGCUGAGGCGCGAAAGCAUGGGGAGCGAACAGG
rnacentral:rRNA from 1 species